GGCCGACUAGCUCAGUUGGUUAGAGCGUCGUGCAAAUACGGAGGUUGUGGACACAUUUGUUACCGAUGUGUCCACAGCAUCUGGUACACGCGAAGGUCUUGGGUUCGAUCCCCACGUUGGCCA